rnacentral:rRNA from 1 species
UACAGAGGGGGCAAGCGUUGUUCGGAAUUACUGGGCGUAAAGGGCGCGUAGGCGGCCUUCUAAGUCGAACGUGAAAUCCCUGGGCUCAACCCAGGAACUGCGUCCGAUACUGGGAGGCUUGAAUCUGGGAGAGGGAUGUGGAAUUCCAGGUGUAGCGGUGAAAUGCGUAGAUAUCUGGAGGAACACCGGUGGCGAAGGCGGCAUCCUGGACCGGUAUUGACGCUGAUGCGCGAAAGCCAGGGGAGCAAACGGG